rnacentral:rRNA from 1 species
CCUACGGGGGGCAGCAGUGGGGAAUAUUGGACAAUGGGGGGAACCCUGAUCCAGCCAUGCCGCGUGUGUGAAGAAGGCCCUCGGGUUGUAAAGCACUUUCAGUGAGGAAGAACGCCUGGUGGUUAAUACCCAUCAGGAAAGACAUCACUCACAGAAGAAGCACCGGCUAACGCCGUGCCAGCAGCCGCGGUAAUACGGAGGGUGCGAGCGUUAAUCGGAAUUACUGGGCGUAAAGCGCGCGUAGGUGGCUUGAUAAGCCGGUUGUGAAAGCCCCGGGCUCAACCUGGGAACGGCAUCCGGAACUGUCAAGCUAGAGUGCAGGAGAGGAAGGUAGAAUUCCCGGUGUAGCGGUGAAAUGCGUAGAGAUCGGGAGGAAUACCAGUGGCGAAGGCGGCCUUCUGGACUGACACUGACACUGAGGUGCGAAAGCGUGGGUAGCAAACAGGAUUAGAUACCCUUGUAGUC